GCCUGGGCGGCUCAGUUGGUUGAGCAUGUGACUUUGGCUCAGAUCAUGAUCUCUUGGUUCGUGGGUUCGAGCCCCGUGUCAGGCU
rnacentral:tRNA from 1 species